GAUGAACGCUGGCGGCGUGCCUAACACAUGCAAGUCGAGCGAUCUUCUUCGGAAGAGAGCGGCGGACGGGUGAGUAACGCGUGGGUAACCUGCCUCAUACACAUGGAUAACAUACCGAAAGGUAUGCUAAUACAAGAUGAUAUAAGAGAUUCGCAUGGAUUUCUUAUCAAAGCUCCGGCGGUAUGAGAUGGACCCGCGUCUGAUUAGCUAGUUGGUAAGGUAAUGGCUUACCAAGGCGACGAUCAGUAGCCGACCUGAGAGGGUGAUCGGCCACAUUGGAACUGAGGCACGGUCCAAACUCCUACGGGAGGCAGCAGUGGGGAAUAUUGCACAAUGGGCGAAAGCCUGAUGCAGCAACGCCGCGUGAGCGAUGAAGGCCUUCGGGUCGUAAAGCUCUGUCCUCAAGGAAGAUAAUGACGGUACUUGAGGAGGAAGCCCCGGCUAACUACGUGCCAGCCGCCGCCGUAAAAC
rnacentral:rRNA from 1 species